rnacentral:misc_RNA from 1 species
GUUAUAAUUUUUACAUGAAAAGAGAUGAAGUAUGUAAAAAGGAUUCGUAAAUCCAUUAACUUAAGAUUUUGGGUUUGACGUGGUGUUAAGUCCAUAAGCAUAUUUUCUUCAUAAAAAACUCAUCAAGAAAGAUUUUUUUUAGGCAUUUUGAGCCCUCUGAAUCUAAUAAGUGGUAUCAAGCUAUUGGCUUGGCGGAAACGGGCAUGGAGAUA